rnacentral:rRNA from 1 species
UACGGAGGGAGCAAGCGUUACUCGGAAUUAUUGGGCGUAAAGGGCGCGUAGGCGAUUUGAUAAGUCUUGUGUGAAAGCCCAGGGCCUAACCCUGGAAGUGCACGAGAGACUGUUGAAUUUGAGUUCAGGAGAGGAAGGCAGAAUUCCCGGUGUAGCGGUGAAAUGCGUAGAUAUCGGGAGGAAUACCAGUGGCGAAGGCGGCCUUCUGGACUGACACUGACGCUGAGGCGCGAAAGCCAGGGGAGCAAACGGG